UGCGGGGUAGAGCAGCAGGCAGCUCGCCAGCCUCAUGCGCUGGAGGACGUCGGUUCGAGCCCGACCCCCGAAA
rnacentral:tRNA from 1 species